rnacentral:tRNA from 1 species
UCCCGGAUGGUGCAGCGGCAGCACGUCAGACUCUGACUCUGAAAACCGGGGUUCGAAUCCCUGUCUGGGAA